rnacentral:rRNA from 1 species
UACGUAGGGUGCAAGCGUUGUCCGGAAUUAUUGGGCGUAAAGAGCUCGUAGGCGGUUUGUCGCGUCGGCCGUGAAAACUUGGGGCUUAACCCCGAGCCUGCGGUCGAUACGGGCAGACUUGAGUUCGGCAGGGGAGACUGGAAUUCCUGGUGUAGCGGUGAAAUGCGUAGAUAUCUGGAGGAAUACCUGCGGCGAAGGCGGGUUGCUGGGCCGACACUGACGCUGAGGCGCGAAAGCCAGGGGAGCGAACGGG